rnacentral:rRNA from 1 species
GUUGUAUAGUUAAGUGAGAAAGCGUACAGGGCGGAUGCCUUGGCAAUCAGAGGCGA